rnacentral:rRNA from 1 species
GAUGAACGCUGGCGGCGUGCCUAAUACAUGCAAGUCGAGCGAACAGACGAGGAGCUUGCUCCUCUGACGUUAGCGGCGGACGGGUGAGUAACACGUGGAUAACCUACCUAUAAGACUGGGAUAACUUCGGGAAACCGGAGCUAAUACCGGAUAAUAUAUUGAACCGCAUGGAUCAAUAGUGAAAGACGGUUUUGCUGUCACUUAUAGAUGGAUCCGCGCCGCAUUAGCUAGUUGGUAAGGUAACGGCUUACCAAGGCAACGAUGCGUAGCCGACCUGAGAGGAUGAUCGGCCACACUGGAACUGAGACACGGUCCAGACUCCUACGGGAGGCAGCAGUAGGGAAUCUUCCGCAAUGGGCGAAAGCUUGACGGAGCAACGCCGCGUGAGUGAUGAAGGUCUUCGGGUCGUAAAGCUCUGUUAUUGGGGAAGAACAGAUGUGUAAGUAACUAUGCACGUCUUGACGGUACCUAAACAGAAAGCAACGGCUAACUACGUG